UACCUGAUCCUCCUGAAGGAACCUCUCCACACUUUUGUAGGCUUUCGUGAACUUGUGCUUAACAAUGAGUUCACACCACCGAUGGCGAACCUGCUGAAAUUAUAAUGCACAGUUAGAGGCUAUAAAAUGCUUUGAAGAAUGCCACCAGUCCUAUUUAUAACAGGAAGCACUCCCCUUUAUUUUUAGUCCUUUUGAUUUUCAAAUUUACUAUCUGUCCAGGGAACAUGAUCUGGGAAGCCCAUUAAACCUCAUU
rnacentral:lncRNA from 1 species